GGAUUACUGGGCGUAAGCGCACGCAGGCGGUCUGUCAAGUCGGAUGUGAAAUCCCCGGGCUCAACCUGGGAACUGCAUUCGAAACUGGCAGGCUAGAGUCUUGUAGAGGGGGGUAGAAUUCCAGGUGUAGCGGUGAAAUGCGUAGAGAUCUGGAGGAAUACCGGUGGCGAAGGCGGCCCCCUGGACAAAGACUGACGCUCAGGUGCGAAAGCGUGGGGAGCAAACAGGAUUAGAUACCCUGGUAGUCCACGCCGUAAACGAUGUCGACUUGGAGGUUGUGCCCUUGAGGCGUGGCUUCCGGAGCUAACGCGUUAAGUCGACCGCCUGGGGAGUACGGCCGCAAGGUUAAAACUCAAAUGAAUUGACGGGGGCCCGCACAAGCGGUGGAGCAUGUGGUUUAAUUCGAUGCAACGCGAAGAACCUUACCUACUCUUGACAUCCAGAGAACUUUGCAGAGAUGCAUUGGUGCCUUCGGGAACUCUGAGACAGGUGCUGCAUGGCUGUCGUCAGCUCGUGUUGUGAAAUGUUGGGUUAAGUCCCGCAACGAGCGCAACCCUUAUCCUUUGUUGCCAGCGGUUAGGCCGGGAACUCAAAGGAGACUGCCAGUGAUA
rnacentral:rRNA from 1 species